CCUGGCUUAGGAUGAACGCUAGCGACAGGCCUAACACAUGCAAGUCGAGGGGCAGCGCGGGAGAAGCUUGCUUUCCUGGCGGCGACCGGCGCACGGGUGCGUAACAGGUGUGCAAUCUGUCCAUAGUCGGGGAAUAGCCCAGCGAAAGUUGGAUUAAUGCUCCAUGUGAAUCGAGACCGCAUGAUCUUGAUUUGAAACGUAAGGACUAUGGGUGAGCACGCUUCUGAUUAGAUAGUUGGUGAGGUAACGGCUCACCAAGUCGACGAUCAGUAGGGUUCUGAGAGGAAGGUCCCCCACAUUGGAACUGAGACACGGUCCAAACUCCUACGGGAGGCAGCAGUGAGGAAUAUUGGUCAAUGGGCGAGAGCCUGAACCAGCCAAGUCGCGUGAAGGAUGAAGGUUCUAUGGAUUGUAAACUUCUUUUGUCCGAGGGUAAAAAAGGCCACGUGUGGCUUCUUGCAAGUAUCGGACGAAUAAGCAUCGGCUAACUCCGUGCCAGCCGCCGC
rnacentral:rRNA from 1 species